GGGCUGUUAGCUCAGCUGGUAGAGCGCUUCCAUGGCAUGGAAGAGGUCGCAGGUUCGAAUCCUGUACAGUCCA
rnacentral:tRNA from 2 species